rnacentral:tRNA from 1 species
GGAACUGUGCCCGAAUGUUAGGGGCCACUUUGAUAGAGUGUCUCACGGGGGUUCAAGUCCCCCCAGCUCCU